rnacentral:rRNA from 1 species
AGAGUUUGAUCAUGGCUCAGAUUGAACGCUGGCGGCAGGCCUAACACAUGCAAGUCGAGCGGUAGCACAGAGAGCUUGCUCUCGGGUGACGAGCGGCGGACGGGUGAGUAAUGUCUGGGAAACUGCCUGAUGGAGGGGGAUAACUACUGGAAACGGUAGCUAAUACCGCAUAAUGUCGCAAGACCAAAGUGGGGGACCUUCGGGCCUCAUGCCAUCAGAUGUGCCCAGAUGGGAUUAGCUAGUAGGUGGGGUAACGGCUCACCUAGGCGACGAUCCCUAGCUGGUCUGAGAGGAUGACCAGCCACACUGGAACUGAGACACGGUCCAGACUCCUACGGGAGGCAGCAGUGGGGAAUAUUGCACAAUGGGCGCAAGCCUGAUGCAGCCAUGCCGCGUGUAUGAAGAAGGCCUUCGGGUUGUAAAGUACUUUCAGCGGGGAGGAAGGCGAUAAGGUUAAUAACCUUGUCGAUUGACGUUACCCGCAGAAGAAGCACCGGCUAACUCCGUGCCAGCAGCCGCGGUAAUACGGAGGGUGCAAGCGUUAAUCGGAAUUACUGGGCGUAAAGCGCACGCAGGCGGUCUGUCAAGUCGGAUGUGAAAUCCCCGGGCUCAACCUGGGAACUGCAUUCGAAACUGGCAGGCUAGAGUCUUGUAGAGGGGGGUAGAAUUCCAGGUGUAGCGGUGAAAUGCGUAGAGAUCUGGAGGAAUACCGGUGGCGAAGGCGGCCCCCUGGACAAAGACUGACGCUCAGGUGCGAAAGCGUGGGGAGCAAACAGGAUUAGAUACCCUGGUAGUCCACGCCGUAAACGAUGUCGAUUUGGAGGUUGUGCCCUUGAGGCGUGGCUUCCGGAGCUAACGCGUUAAAUCGACCGCCUGGGGAGUACGGCCGCAAGGUUAAAACUCAAAUGAAUUGACGGGGGCCCGCACAAGCGGU